rnacentral:rRNA from 1 species
AUGAACGCUGGCGGCGUGCCUAAUACAUGCAAGUCGAGCGAACGGACGAGAAGCUUGCUUUUCUGAUGUUAGCGGCGGACGGGUGAGUAACACGUGGAUAACCUACCUAUAAGACUGGGAUAACUUCGGGAAACCGGAGCUAAUACCGGAUAAUAUUUUGAACCGCAUGGUUCAUAAGUGAAAGACGGUCUUGCUGUCACUUAUAGAUGGAUCCGCGCUGCAUUAGCUAGUUGGUAAGGUAACGGCUUACCAAGGCAACGAUGCAUAGCCGACCUGAGAGGGUGAUCGGCCACACUGGAACUGAGACACGGUCCAGACUCCUACGGGAGGCAGCAGUAGGGAAUCUUCCGCAAUGGGCGAAAGCCUGACGGAGCAACGCCGCGUGAGUGAUGAAGGUCUUCGGAUCGUAAAACUCUGUUAUUAGGGAAGAACAUAUGUGUAAGUAACUGUGCACAUCUUGACGGUACCCAAUCAGAAAGCCACGGCUAACUACGUG